rnacentral:rRNA from 1 species
UUAAUUUUUAAUAACUCUAUGCAACGGAUAUCUUGGUUCUCGUAACGAUGAAGAACGCAGCGAAAUGCGAUACGUAAUGCGAAUUGCAGAAUUCAGUGAAUCGUCAAAUCUUUGAACGCAAAUUGCCACUCUUGAGUUUUUAACUCGGGAGUAUGCUUCUUUGAGUAUCGUCUUUAAUAACUCAAAUACGUAUAUAUACAUAUUUGGACAGUGGAUAUCAUAAUUUUCUUAAUUAUGUUAUUUUAAGAUGAUAAGAAUAAUAUUUUUAAUAUUGCAUUACAAGUAUUUACAUGAUAUACUCUUUUUAUAUUGAAUAUUCAUUUAAACUGUAAAGUAGAUAAAUCCAAAGGUAGAUAAUAUUUUUAUGUUUGUUUGAGUUUAUUUUGUGGGAAUUAUUUGGUUAAUAAGUUACAAUCAUAAUACAUGUGUGUAUAAUUAUAUUGGUCUUUAAAGGAAAUUACUUUUUUUUAAUGAUCUCAAAUGAAGUAAGAGGACCCCCUGAAUUUAAACAUAUUAAUAAGGGGAGGAAAAGAAACUAACAAGGAUACCCUUAGUAACGGCGAGUGAAGCGGGUAAAGCUCAAAAUUAAAACCUGGGCACCUAGCGGUGUUCUGGAAUGUAAUGUAUAGGACGAAUAUCAUUUGAGACCUAGGUCUAAGUUCUCGUGGAAUUAGACACCAUGGAGGGUUAAAGUCCCGUCAUACUUAGAGAUCUCUUUAUACGAUAUAGUGCCAUAGAGUCGAGUUGUUUGGGAUUGCAGCUCUAAGCAGGUGGUAAAUUCCAUCUAAAGCUAAAUAUUAACGAGAGACCGAUAGCGAACAAGUACCGUGAGGGAAAGAUGAAAAGAACUUUGAAGAGAGAGUGAAUAAGUACUUGAAAUUGCAUAGAGGGAAGCGAAUAAAACUGGUCACUAUAGAUAAACAUAUGAUGUCUUAAUAAAUGAAAAUGCUGCGUUAUUAGAGUAAUCGGUAAUGUAGUAUUAAGAAGUUAUUGGUUCGUCUAAUUGUUUAUCUAUGUGUCAAGAUCAAUUUGAUACUUGUGAGAAAACGGUAAGAAGGUAGAUGUUGAUGGCUUCGGCUUGAUAAUAUUGUUAUAGCUUAUUGUACAUAACUCGUAAUAGAUUGAGGAAUACAACAUACGCCUUUGGCUUUGGCUGUUGCGUCCUGGUAUCGUAUUUGUAGUCAGAGCAAAAGCUACGGCUGCAUUGACCGGUACUACUGGCGUAAUUAGUUCUAUGUAUGUUCAAGAUCUUGGCGAAACGGUUUUAUCUGACCCGUCUUGAAACACGGACCAAGGAGUCCAACAUAUAUGCGAGUAUUUGGGUGGAAAACUCUUAUGCGUAAUGAAAGUGAAUAUCAGUUUACUGAUUGAGGUAGGAUUUGUAUUCUAAUGAAUGGGUACAAUGCACUAUCGACCGAUCUUCAUUGGAAUGAUUUGAGUAUUAGCAUAUCUGUUGGGACCCGAAAGAUGGUGAACUAUGGGUGAGUAGAGUGAAGUCAGAGGAAACUCUGAUGGAGGCUCGAAGCGAUGCUGACGUGCAAAUCGCUCGUCAAACUUGCCUAUAGGGGCGAAAGACUAAUCGAACCAUCUAGUAGCUGGUUCCCUCCGAAGUUUCCCUCAGGAUAGCAGGAGUUUAUUGUUAAACAGUUAUGUCUGGUAAAGCGAAUGAUUAGAGGUCCUGGGGAAGAAACUUCCUCAACCUAUUCUCAAACUUUAAAUAGGCUUGAUAUUGGUGUUGCUUAAAUUAUUAACAUUGAACAUGUAUAUUGAAUGGCAAACUCCUUGUGGGCCAUUCCUGGUAAGCAGGACUGGCGAUGUGGGAUGAACCAAACGUUGAGUUAAAGUGUCAGAAUAUACACUCAUAUAGAUACCAGAAAAGGUGUUGGUUGAUAUAGACAGAAGGACGGUGGCCAUGGAAGUUGGAAUCCGCUAAGGAGUGUGUAACAACUCACCUUCCGAAUCAACUAGCCCUGAAAAUGGAUGACGCUUAAGUGUAUUACUUAUACUCAACCUUUAGAACAAAUAUAUUUAACCAAUAUGUUCUAAAGAGUAGGAGGGCGUAAAGUUUAUUAUGAAGCCUAUGAGCGUAAGCUUGGGUGAAAUAGACUUUAGUGCAGAUCUUGGUUGUAGUAGCAAAUAUUCAAGUGAGAUCCUUGAAGGCCGAAGCAGAGAAAGGUUCCGUAUGAACAGUAUUUGGAUACGGGUUAGUCGAUCCUAAGAGAUAAGGUAACUCUGUUUUAAAGUGGACAAUAUUUUAUUUUAUUGUUCCUCUUAUCGAAAGGGAAAUAGGUUAAUAUUCCUAUACUAAGAUGAGGAUAUUUUUACGGCAACGUAAAUGAACUUCGAUAUGCAUCAGUAAAAGCCCUGGAAAGAGUUCUCUUUUCUUUUUAAUAGUCUUUCGUUAUUGAAAAUUUGUAAAAGUCUGAGGAAUUAGGUUAUCUAGAGAAUCAGACUGAAGGCUAAUAAAGCAUUUUAAUUUUUUAAAAUGUCCGGUGCGCUUUUAAAGAUCCUUGAAACUCGAAGGGAAAGAAUCAUUUUCUCACUUAGUCGUACUCAUAACCGCCGCAGGUCUCUAAGGUGAAAAGCCUCUGGUUAAUUAGAAUAAUGCAGGUAAGGGAAGUCGGCAAAAUAGAUCUGUAACUUCGGGAUAAAGAUUGGCUCUUAGGAUUGGGUUAGUGAGCUUGCAGAAGGAAUGUUUAUGAGGGUUUGCAGAAGCUACGGUCUGUUGUUUGAUUAGGGCAACCGAAAAAGCGAUGGACUGUGGAGUUUGAAUACUUUUGUUUACACUAUGUCUGUAAGACCUCUUGGAGAGGGAAGAGGGUCAAACCUUUACUUUUUCAAGACUCUCGUUAACACUUAACAAUUAACUAAGAACUGACACGGUCAAGGGGAAUCCGACUGUUUAAUUAAAACAAAGCAUUGUGAUGGCCGGUGAACGGUGUUGACACAAUGUGAUUUCUGCCCAGUGCUCUGAAUGUCAAAGUGAAGAAAUUCAACCAAGCGCGAGUUAACGGCGGGAGUAACUAUGACU